CCUACGGGAGGCAGCAGUAGGGAAUUUUCAGCAAUGGACGAAAGUCUGACGGAGCAACGCCGCGUGAGUGAGGAAGGUUUUCGGAUCGUAAAAAUUUGUUGUGAGGGAAGAAAAUGUACCAAUUAAAUACUGGUACCUUGACGGUACCUCCACAGAAAGCCACGGCUAACUAU
rnacentral:rRNA from 1 species